UACGUAGGGGGCGAGCGUUGUCCGGAUUCAUUGGGCGUAAAGAGCUCGUAGGCGGCUUGGCAAGUCGGGUGUGAAAACUCCAGGCUCAACCUGGGGACGCCACUCGAUACUGCUGUGACUAGAGUCCGGUAGGGGAGCGUGGAAUUCCUGGUGUAGCGGUGAAAUGCGCAGAUAUCAGGAGGAACACCAGCGGCGAAGGCGGCGCUCUGGGCCGGUACUGACACUGAGGAGCGAAAGCGUGGGUAGCAAACAGG
rnacentral:rRNA from 1 species